UUACAAUUCUCUUACAUUUCUUAAAACAAUAGGAAGCCUAAAAGCACGGAUAUCGGAUUCAUAGUAGACCACUUGGUCUGAGGGUGAUUGAGCUUCUACAAUACUUAUUUGCUUGUCUUGGCCUCAGUUAUUGUUUAUCCACGACCAAUAGAAUUUCUUUCAUGACUAUUGGUUCCAGAAAAUUCACCGUAAGAAGAACCUAUAUGGGCAAGAAGUAAAAGUUGAAUCGAACUUCUGAAGAUGCCGACAUUGAAUAACCGGCAACUUUGCUACUGAACUUGCCCAGAAGUCAAUCUUCUGCAAUGGUAGGGCGGACCCUUGCAGGUUGAAUCCAUGAAAUAAAACCUUUUAAAAAGUGGUUGACUAUAACAGCAUAUCCCUUUUCUGCACAAAAUACACUGCACAGGACUGCAGGCUCUAUCAUUUGUUGUUCUAUAAAUGUCAAAGCCAAGGUCUGCUGCCGACUUGUACCAUCCCGUACCAACCAUAUUAUAUCGAUAAUGUAUCCGUAUGCUACCGAGGUUCGAUUUGAUAUAUGAGUCGAAUUAGUUCGUAAUGGUCCAAAUCAAGCAAAACCGUUUUGAGCC
rnacentral:lncRNA from 1 species